UUGGUCCCAAAGGCUUGUAAUGUCUUCAGUGGAUAUAGAAAAUGUUGGUACUACAAAUAUUAAAGAUGCAGGUAUUUUCUGGUAUUGAAAUCAAGAAUUUAAUGGUGGUCAACUGCCAGUCAUAAAUAGAUAAUAUUACAGGAAAUGUGUUAAGUACAAUUGGCUUGGAGUUUGGACAUUAGAAACCUAAUGGGUUUGGGCUGAAGGAAUAUAACAUACAGCAGUUGCUUAAUAGGAAUAUAAGACCCGUAGCUCUUUCUUGCAUUUUCCAUUAUUCUCUUGCUAAUCAAACCGGUCCUUAGGAUACCUUUGUUUACAUUAAUAAAGGGAGUUAUUAAAUUAGUUAUUCACGAGGCCAGUCUAUCCCACAUUUGUGCGUAAUUCUUUCUCAUUGGAACUAAUUUAAAGCAGCCGCAAACUAAUUGACUGACUUGUUCAUGAAUUAAAGAAUCUGCACCAAAGGAACUCAACAAAUAGGUUCUCAUGGCUAAAGUUUUUUGCUGUCAACCACUAAAGAAUCUCCUUUGAAAGAUGGUAGUGUGUAUGAAAUAAAUGCAUGCGAAAAAAAAUGUUAGAUUCGUAAUAGAUAAAUAAAGUAUUUUGCUUAAAAUGGUACAAAAACUUGAAUCACAAAUUUUCAAAUUGGCCAAGUAUCCUAAAACAAUAAUGAACAAGCAUGAUUCAAAUCCUCUAAAAGAAACAGGAUUUAAGUAUUCCUAAAACAUAGGCUCACAGAAGCUGCUUCGAGUUAUCGAAAGCUAAUAGGGUGAGGAGAAAAGCAGAUCCAGAUUAAAUUAGAAAACCAAAGACAAAAACAGAGUGAAAGCUUAAUAAACCAGAAGAUUUUGAAAAGCUACCUAUACAAAAAAGCAAAAUUUCAAAUUUGGAAACCAGCCACUAUUAGUUAUCAUUUUGAAAGUCUUACAAUACUAUAAUCAAAAUAAAAGUUUGCUAUUAGCUCUCACUUGGAAAGCCAUGUAAGAACAACCAAACGAAGAACAAUCCAAUGGAGUUCAACAUGUUCUAGGUUUCGGCCAGCCAAACAAUAAAACCCGCAGACAAAUAUGCAAAGCAGUCUUUAGAAGCCAAUCCUGAUUGUACCUUUCUUCUAUAAUUCUAUAGAAUGAUUUUUGUUGCCAAAUAAAACAUGUCCAAGUUAACAAGAAAGCCAGAGCUUGGCUUAAUACUAAGAAAUCAAUACGCUGGUAAGGCUAAACAUCCACAUUCAAACCUUUCUGCAUAUUUGGUAUUACUGAGGGCUCUCGCAACAGAUAAAACUGAAUGAACUCAUGGGGGGAAGAACUCACAAGAGGGAUUGAGCUUGACAAAAUACUUAAAAAUGAUAGGAUCAAAUUCUGAUUUAUAGGCAGAAAUGAUGCUUUGUUGGGGAUCAGCAUGAAAAAUAAGAAUUUUCAUUUCAUUAUUAUCUAGAAACAAAGAAAUUGGAAUGACAACAUCGAGGAGAACAAAAGGGGGGGAAAAUGGAAUCUUUUCAUUGAGGGGGAUCAGGAUGGACUUCAACCAAACCUAUUCAGGGAAUUGCUUACAAGAUCGGCUUAAAAGGUCUCCCAAGACCAUUCAGAGGUUUCAUUUAAAAAUAAAAAAAAUAAAAAAACUAGCUAAACACAGUGUUUUUCUUUUUCAGAAGGCAUCUAUCAGUACUGUUAAUAGAUCAAUAAACAAUCCUUCAAAAUUAUCAUGAGAUUCACUAACAAUAUCUCUUAAACAAAGCAUCGGAAAGGAAAAAAGAAACUAAUUAACCGAGAUAAUUUGUACCAUGGAUGGAUAAACUGCAAAUGACACCAAAAAUUUGAUUCUUCAUUGGCAACACCUACAAAAACGAACUCAAAUGGUCCAACUCAUGUACAAAAUAUAAAACGAUAAAUGAAAAACACAUUACCUCGAUAAAACUUUUCAAAUUAAGUCCAACUGUCCAAGGUCAAAAUUCAGAUAAUAUUCUCAAUCUUCACAUUGGGUGUCCUGUUUCUGCAUCCAAUGGACUGACACAAAUUAGUAGGAAUAGUUGCCACUUCCAUUGGAAUCAAGACCCUAAGUUCAGUUACACCCAAUCCUAUGAAACAUUUGCCUCACCUGGCAUUCAAGUGCGUCCGAUCCAUACUUUACUGCUUCAGAAACUUGCCAAACCAAACAAUUGGGCAGUCCCAAUAGGCAAGGCCCUAAUAACUUCCAUAUGGGGAGUCAUGGGUUUGAACCUUAAGGAGUGAACCAAUGGUUAAUAUAUCAUUCCUCACUCCCCCUUGAAAGAAGGAAGCACGGUGUUUGUUUGCAUGCCCCUAAGAAAACAAGUUUUCCAGAUCUCCAGUAGAAUAAACUAACAAUGCCUCAUAUCUCAUAGCUACAACCAUGCAUGAAUAGUCAUGUAAAGGAAUAAUUUCCAAUUUUCUAAGACAAAAUUUGAUAAAUCCUCAUAUCACAUAGCUAUUAUAAUUCAUUGUAAAGUAUAUGAGUUAUCAUUGAAAGCCAUUCUCCAACUUUAUGAAAAGAAGAAGCAUGCUACUAUCACCGAUUUGGGUGAUUGAACCGAUCACAAACAGGAUACAAGGGGUGGAUCCUUCAAUAGGACCAACCCUUGUAUUUUGUUGUCGGUGACCGAUUCAGUCACCCAAUUUGAUGAUAAUUUCAUCAGCAAAAAAGUGACAUGAUAAUGAUGAUGAUAGGAAGGCUUCCAAUGAAAACAAAAACAACUCCACAAGAACGAGGUGUCCAUCAUUGAGCAUCAAAUCUUUUCGCUGAUUUACAAGUAAGACUUUAGGAUAAUUACAUUAUGAAGCAAGCAAUUUUGAACGAAGAAUUCAAACAAAGAUAAAAAAAUGAAAAAUUGUCAAAAGUCAGUUUGAGAAGUAUCAAAUAAGUUGAACAUAACUACAAUUUUAUCAGUAUAAAAUAACUCCACGUUAUAUAUUAUAUGCAUGCAUCUUCAUUACAUCAUAACUCCAUAAAUGCAGCCUAAAAGAUUUUGAACCAAGCAAAUUCCUCAAGUCAAAUUGUUACACCACACAUGAGAUCAUUUCUCAAUCAGACAAAUCUCCAACAAUAUAUAAUUAUUUAUUCUAAGAAACAAGGAGGUUUAACAUCAAACCAUAUCGGUUUAUUACCAAUUUAAACAAAGAUAAAAGUAGACAAUGUAGAAGCCACACCUCUGAGGUGAAAAAACUACGGAUACCCAAGAGUGUACAAACAAGUAGAUCAUCAAUUAACAUUGUAACAACAUUGUAACAAUACCAACAUGGCUUACUUUUACCCAUGAAAGACCAGGAUAUGUUGCGUAUGCAUAAACAAUAGCAAUACGACAAAAGAAUGGCGAUUGAAUGUGCAAUAUCCCUUUUUUUUGUAAAAAAGUGUGUCCUAUUCUUGUCAAAUUUAUUUAAUUUUGGGCAUUCAAAGGGAAUUCAAUAAAAACUAUAACAUUUAAUUCUUAUACAUAAAAGAUGAAGUCAAUAAAUUUGUGCAAGUAAAUUGUGUAGUGAUUAUUACAUGGUAAUAUUUUAUUAGGUAGUGAAAUGAAAUCGGUGGUAUCAUAUGGUAGGCAAAGAAUUAAUAUAAAGUAACUAAACAAGGAUAUGAAAGAGUAAAUUAAAUAAGAAGAAUAAGUAACUGAAAUGUGGAGAUUUAGGGAACACCUAGGGGAGCCAAGAGGCACGUGGGGAAGAGUCAGCAUGAAGCAUCUGCACGAAGCAGUAUAUGGUUUCCAUCGUUUUUCCCUGAUCAAGUAAACUGGGACAGCAGCUCUGAAGUUGUGGAAAUUACAAGUUAAACGACAACAUUAUUCUUUGAAUGACACCGAGGAAAGAACUAGGAUUUCGGAUAUCAAUUAAAGUUACCGGAUAAUACCACGCAUCUCAUAGCCACAACAAUGCUAUGAAUAGACAUUUAGGGAAUAUUGGUUAAUUUUCGAAGAAAGGUUAGAAGGAUCAAAUAUUAGAAUUAGUAGCAUACUAGCUUUGCAUAUCCAAAAGGAAAAUAAAUAAAUACAAAACAACACAAUCUUUCAAAUCACUUAGUUAUUGGAAGGCCCUCAGAUCUCAUAGCUGACAUAAUUCAUUGAUGGUUGAAGUCUAUAAUUAGUAAUAGGAAACCUCUCCCCAACUUAAUAAUAAUAAUAACAAUAAAGAAGAAGAAGAAGAAGAAGAAGAAUGAAGAUGAUGAUGAUGAUGGGAGGCUUCUAGUGAAAACCAUAGCAACCACUCCACAAGAAUGAGUUCUCCAUCAUCGGGCAUCAAAGUUUUUCACAUAUUUAAGAGUAAAAGCAACAUCAAGAUAAUUACAACAUGAAGCAAGCACCUUCAAACGAAGAAUUCAAACAAAGGUACAAAAAAAAAUGUCAAAAGUCAGUUUGAGAAGUAUUAAAUGUAGCUUUCUAGCGAGAUUUUCAUCAAUAACUACAAAAAUAAGUUGAGCAUACCAACUAUUUUAUCAACAUAAAACAACUCAACGUUAAAUAUUAUAUGCAUGCAUCUUCAAAAGCAGCCUAAAGGAUUUUGAGCCAUGCAAAUGCCUCAUGUCAAAUUGUUACACCACGCAUGAGAUCAUCUCUCAAUCAGAUCACCCCAACAAUAUAUAAUUAUUUAUUCUAAGAAAUAAGGAGGCUUAGCAUCAAACCUUGUCGGUUUAUUAUCAAUUUAAACAAAGAUAAAAGUAGAUAGAAGGUUCCUAUAAAAAAAAUAAGAGAGAACGUAAAAGUCACACCUAUGAGGUGAAAAACCUAUGGAUACCCAAGAGGGUAUAAACAAGUAAAUCAUCAAUUAACAUUGUAAUAAGGCCAACAUGGCUUCAUUUACCCAUGAAAGCCAAAAUUUGUUGCGUAAGCAUAAACAAAAUUAGCACAACAAAAGAACGGCGAUUGAAUGUCUUGUCAAGCCCAACCCAUCUUUCUCCUUAAAAUCCAAGUAUUAAGGAGAGGAGAACAUAAGCCUUAUAGAUAGCAUAGAGGGGCCAAACACACCUCCUGGACCACAGCAGCCGGACACUCGGCACACUUGACAACUGACCCAACUUUUGACGACAGGUCCAACCUUACUUUGAUACCACUUGUCAGGCCCAUCCCAUCUUUCUCCUUCAAAUUCAGGUAUUAAGGAGAGGGGAACAUAAGCCUUAUAGACAGCAUAGAAGGGCCAAACACCCCCCCUGAACCACAGCAGCCGAACACUCGGCACGCUUGACAACUGGCCCAACUUUUGACGACAUGCCCAACCUUGCACUAAUACCACUUGUCAGGCCCAACCCAUUUUUCUUCUUAAAACCCAAGUAUUAAGGAGAGGAGAACAUGAACCUUGUAGACAGCAUAGAGGGGCCAAACACAACCCCUGGACCACAGCAACCGGACACUCGACACGCUUGACAACUGGCCCAACUUUUGAUGACAGGCCCAACCUUACUCUAAUACCAAGUUGAAAUGAAUAGAAAAAGGAUUUAUAGUAUAUUGAGAUUGAGAUCAUAAAUAUUUAUACACAAAAUAAAGAAAGUGAGGGGGAACAUGAUCCAUAAUUUAGGCUAAAAGAAAGGGGACAUGAUCCAUAAUUUAUGCCCUAAAUUGUGCCAUAAUAUAUGGUAUCAGAGCAAGGUUGCUCUUGGUCAGCCUCCUAGGCUUCCGCUGUUUAGCCGUCGCCAGAUGCAACCCCUGCUGCCUUCCUGCAGCCCCUUACAGCCAAUUUCCAGCCCCCCUGCUACCUCCUAGAACUUCCUGCAACCUCAUGCAUCCUUCCUGCAGCCUUCCUGUAGCCCUUUUGCAGUCCCCUAUUGCCUAAUGCAACAUCUUGCAGCUUCUUGCAAUCUGCGACCUCACAUAGCCUUUGUCGUCGAUAUCUUGAGGCCUCUUGCUGCCUCGCACAGCCUGCAGCCUCGUAUAGCCUUUGCCAUCGAUAUUUCGAUGCCUUUGUCCACUAGGGUCUUCCGGUUUGUUCCGUCUCCGCUUCAGUCCUCUAUUGUCAAGCUAAAAGCUUGAUUGGUAUCUCCUCUCAGCUUGAGGGGUAGUGUUGGAAAUAAGGAUUGAUUAGAAUAUAUUGUGCCAUACAUUAUGGCACAAUUUAGGGCUAAUUAGGGAUCAUGUCCCUUAAUCUUAGGCCGAAAUUAGGAAUCAUGUCCUUACUUUUAGCCUAAAUUAGGGAUCAUGUCCCCCUCACUUUCUUUACUCGUGUAUAAAAUUUACUUAUGAUCUCAAUUCUCAAUUUAUACUAAAAACUUAUUCUUAUUUCGGUUCAACUCUAAAUGUGUAAUAUCCUUUAUUUUUGUAACAAGUAUCACCUUUUCUAGUUAGAUUUAUUUAAUUUGGGUAUUCAACCGGAAUUUAAUAAAAAAUAUUGUUAAAAAGAGUCAAGGGGUGCAACGUAAAACCAAUUGGCUAUAAGUAAAGUAGCAUCUAGAUUAUGUAUGCUAAGUUUGGGUGGCUUAAGUAAGCGAUAUAGAACUAACACUUCUAACAAUUAUAAGAUCUAAUUAUUGUAUUUUAAAAGAUGAGUAAAUUAAAUAAGGAGAACAAUUAACCGAAAUGUGAAGAUUUCAGGAAACACGUGGAGGAGCCAAGAGACACGGGGAAUAGUCAACUAAAACGGUGUUCUCAUGCUAUAUAUUGCAUCAUGCAGUAUAUAGUUUCCGUCUUAUUGCAGCUUUGAAGUAAUUUGCAAAACUUACAAGUUAAAAGACAAUAUUUUUCUUUGAAUGACACUGAGGAGAAAAGAAUCAGGAUUUCAGAUAUCAAUUAAAGUCACCGGAUAAAUACCACAUAUCUCAUAGCCAUAACAACACUAUGAAUAGUCAUGUAAGGAAUAUUUGCUAUUUUUUUAGGAACGGUUGAAAGGAUCAAAGAUCAUAAUCAAUAGCAUACCAGCUUUGCAUAUCCAAAAAAAAUAAAAAUAAAUAUAAAACAACACAAAAUCUUUCAAACCAUUACAAAUUGGAAAGCCCUCAGAUCUCAUAGCUGACAUAAUUCAUUGAUGGUUAAAGUCUAUGGUUAGUCAUAGGAAGCCACUCCACAACUAAAUAAUAAUAAUAAUAAUAGUAGAAGAAGAUGAUGAUGAUGUUGCUGCUGUUGAUGAUGAUAAUAAUGAUGAUGGGGAGGCUUCCAAUGAAAACCAUAGCAACCACUCCACAAGAAUGAGUUCUCCUUCAUCGGGUAUCAAAGUUUUUCACCCAUUUAAGAGUAAAACCAAAAACCAACAUAAGGAUAAUUGCAACACGAAGCAUCAACUUUAGAUAAGAAAUUCAGCAAAAGAAAAAAUAAUGGCAAAAUUAAGAUACUUUUGAAAGGAUGAGUAGCUUUCUAUGCUGAAUGUCCAUCAAUAACAGCAUAAAAUAAAUUGAAUAUAACUAUUCUAACACCAUAAAAUAACUCCGCAAGACAUUUUAAUAUGUACGCACCCUCCAUUAAUAUCCUAGCAAUUAUUUGCAUAAAAAAUUGUAUAUAACUGGAGAGCAAACGAGGAGAUGAAUAAUCCAGUGCCAGAUGCAGAAAAAUAUUCAAUUUUACUUGAUGCCUUACCAUGAAGGUAGAUUAUAAAAUCAUCAAAAAUUACCUCAAAUCUAGAAGCCAACUUUUAUUCCAGACUAAAACAAAUGUCCUAUAGCAUCAAGAAAUGAAGAAUUACGGAUAGUGGAAGUACAAAAUUAAAAUCCUUAUAACUUGCUCCUUACAAAGAUAGCUUCAGCCAUAAUGCAAGAGUCAACACAAAAGGGUUCUCAUACAAUAUAUUAUUGUUAUAGUCACUAGACAAUUCCAAGCAAGGUUAGAAAUAUCAUGCAAAUGUCAUUUUCCCUGAUCAGGUAAACUGGAUAACGCUGCUCAAGAAUUUGAGAAACUUACCCAUGUAAAAACACUAUUGUGUUCGAAUGACCCUGAAAAAAAGAACAAUGAUUUCAGUUCUCAUAGAUGGAAGAUAAUAAAACAAUCCAAAAUUACCUCAAACCUCAAAUCCGAAUUUAUACGGCCUUCACAAAUUAGCAGUUGAUAAAACAUUGAAUAUAUAGGCAUUUAGAUCUAGUAUCCAAGCCCAAAUAGUGGAAUAGUUAAUCGGGUGGUCCACAUUCUCUUAAUGGAACAACUAGUGACUGCGAAAAAUGAAACUCAGUUACUAUUAGCUACAUUAGUUUAUUAUUCAAAAAUAAAUUUUCCACAACACAUUAACGAAGCCAGAAAAAUUUUGCGAAGCACGAAUAUGGACACGCAGACAACUAAAUCAAACGAAUUGCAAAGUUCUUUUAGUAUGUCUUUCAUGGCUCGUUAACCUACUUUGAUUAUUGUACUUUUUAUCUAAACAACACCUACAAACACAGACAUUGACAUGGCCAAGGACACGCACGUCCAGAGGAAUGACACUAAUGUCCAUUAUAUGUCCCCAACGUGUUCGAUAAAAUAAAAUAAAAAGUAAUGGACAUACUGAUGUGUCCGAGAGUGUUCGAGGAGUGCCAGUGUCAGUUACAACAACUAAUUUCUAGUGUGCGUACUUCUUAGGAAUUUAGAAUAAAACUGCUCAUUACCAACUUGUAAAGCAAAGUAGCCAAACAAAUCAGAAAUUGAGAAUUAACAGCGAUAAAAUGAAAGAAAAAAAAAUUAAUUUUAGAAAAACUCCAGUGUCCAAUUUCUGCACCGGCAAAAAAAGGAACAAGAGGGAAUCCAAAGACCUAAAAAAAUCUUACUUUCUUCAUGAACAAAGCCCAAAGAAAUGUGCAUAUGCCGUCUAUAUAAGGCCAUAAAAUUUGUUAUGAUUACAAAACUACCUCAAAGUAUUGUUAUUCCCAUACCAGUCAACAAACUAAAUUGUAAUAAUAAACACCCAGAAAAUUAUAAAAGAGUAAGGGACAAAAUACACCAAAAUAGACUAAAAGAUAAACAAUAUGAAACAAUCUUAAUAUCUGAGCCCCAUUUUCCAACCAAAAUGGGACAUUCCUGCUUGAACCAAAUGGAUUUAAUAACUUUCGGCAUCGAUGAUAGCGGUGGUAGUAAAGUUUCGUCGUAAGAUCAUCAAACCUACCAAUAUAUUGGAAAUCACAUCAUCAUCAGGCAAUCUAGAAUCAUAUGUACAACAGAAUACAUAUGUUUAUCUGUCACACGACGGGGAGGGGGGGCUCAUCAUCCGCAAUCUAGAAUCAUAUGUACAACAGAAUACAUAUGUUUAUCUGUUGAAUCUGUGAGGAACAUACACAAGUUAAAUGUGUAAUGUUCAAAGGCCAAUAAUAAUAUAUCAAAUACCCAAAUUACUACAAUACAAUAAAAAAAGCUUUUUACCUUAAAAAACAUAACCAAACAAUGAAAAUGAAUACAACAAAUCAGCAUCAAACGUCAACAAUCCAACAUCCAACAGAACAUAUUAGUGAAAUUGUUGAAUCUAUCAGGACAUGCAUAUAAAUUAAAUGCAUAAUGUUCAGAGAUCAUUGCAAAUAUCAUCAUUCACCAAAUAUCCUAAUUACAAAAAACAAGAAAAACAUACAACUUUUAGCAAGAUCUAACCAAACAACGAACACAAAUCCCAUAAAUAAGCACUCGACGUCAAUAAUCCAACCUAAGUAAUAGAUGUGAACAUCCAAUAAUAGUUAACAAAGGCCCUCAGAUAUCAUUGAUGGUUUAUAUCCAUUAGCAGUCAUCAAAUGCCUUUACAUAUGCAGAUAGAUAGGUAGAUAGAUGGUUAUAGAGAGAGAUGAGACCGGUGAUUCUCGUGGUGAUGGAAAUAAAGGCGAGUGACAACUAAAGAACAUGGAACCACUUAAUACAUAUAGAUUUUUCCAUCAUCAGGCAAACACAUGCGAAUAAUGUGUAUAUUUGCAUUUACAUGUAAAUAGAUAAAUUUAAGAUGCACGUAUGAUCGGCAUUUUCAUGGUGGAGCCGCCAUGGGAGAGGAGUGAGUUGAUGAAGACGCUAGGGUAAUAUAAGGAUUGAGGAUUAUCUAUAGGGGGAUGGGAUUGUCCGGAAUACUUUUGGUUACAGUAUUAAAUAUCUGGAUUACCCUUGGAAUGGGCUUUCCUUAUGGUAUGUUUGGUAGGAGAGAAAACAGAACGAGAGAAAGGGAAAAAAAAAGAUUGUUUGAUAACACAUUUUUCAUUUUGUGUUUUUUGUUUUCAUUGAAUCUUUUUUUGAGAAACACUUAAAUAAACUAGUUUAGUGAACAUUUUUUAAAAAUUGUAGUCAGAAAAAUUAUCAAAAAAUAAAUUUCGUUUUAGAAAACAGUACAAAAAUGUUUUUGAAUUUUUGAAAAGUGCUUAUGCGCACACAUAAAAAAGAAAACGUUAUAAAAUCUAGGAGUUUUUUUCGAACAUUUCGUUCAUUUUGUUUUCAAGAAAACACAAAAAUAAAUAUAAAAAAAAACAAUUCCAAACAAACCACGAUUCUUGAAAGGAUGAUAUUAACAUAGAUCUUUCUUACGGAGUAUUAUAUAGGUGGUCAUACUAUUGUGCUUUCUCACUAUUUUUCCUUUUGGACACACCAAACUUUUUUAUUGAAUUGUUUUCGAGAUUGUUUUGAAAAAACAAUUCAAAGAAUAACUCAAUUUUUACCCGACACUAAAAGAUGUUUUUGGAAUUCUGAAUAAGGCUUGUACAAACAUCAAAGCUAUAUCCCAAGCAUAAGAAUUUCAUACUUUUGGAGCAUCAAGAUCUCAAAUGAAUCUACACCACAUUCUAGAAAAUGCUUAUAAAACAAGUGAAGUACACCCACUAAUAUAUUACCAAAAAAAGAAAAAGAACCUAAAAAUAGUUCAUUUACCAAAAUUUGCAACGAAUUAAUUCAAGUCUCACAAGCUGACUUGUGUGAGUGAAGCAUACCAUUAAAAUAAAAAUAUGCAAUUGGAUGAGAAAAAAUAAGGAAGGUGCAAGUAUUAAGAGUGUUUCUUCAUAGAGCUGACUUAAGUAAGCAUCAACUAAUGCCAAGUCUUAUAAAGAAUUAAAGAAGAGAGACCACACAACCAAAUAUGAAAAGUAAUGGAUAAAUUCAAACUUGUAGCAUACAACGGCAAUAAUAAUACAACCACAAUCACCAAGGGCUGGGUCUUACCACAAGAGGUCUCAACCAAUCUAAACCCCAUAUGUGUAAGUUCGAUCUAAUCCAUUAGACCUUGUUUCUAUUUCUUAUGCUAGCAAUCAUCACGGGUUAAGUUUUACCACAAUAGGCCUCAACCCAUUUAUCCAAAUCUUAUCACAAUAGGCUACAGUUCUAUUUCUUGUGCUAGCCCAAAUUGUAGCAUGUAUUUAGGCUUAGAUGCUAGGUCUAAAUCGGUUAACAGUUAGAAAUGAAGUGCUUGGUGAAUGCCUCUAAGAUCUCACAGCUUUAAGCAAAUUAUCAACAGUUUAGCAUCUCUAGGUCAAUAUUAUUUAUUAAAGAGCCUUUACAACACCAUUUAUAGGCAAUAAUAAUUAACUUGCCAAUGAGAAAAAGCUAAAUGAAAGCAGGCAGGAGGGAGAAAGACGUCGGCAGGACAAAAGAGCUUUUGUCCAAAAAUUACACUUUAAGUCCCUCAUUCUAUUAAGUGAAUCCCCUUUUAACUUUUGGAAAAUGAGGACAGGUGGUAGGGAACCCUAGAUCCACCUAACAAACAAAACACCAUCACAACCCUAGAUCCAACUAAGAAACAAAACACCAUCAAGCUGUAAGGAAGGACAUCCUCCGCCAAGGGCCAAUCACAAUUUGAGAGCAACAGGAUAUCGCUGAUACCUCCCCGUGUUAGGAGUUAAAAGGAGGUUUACUGAGGGACAUAAAAUGUAAUUUUUGGGCUGAGAGCAGUUUUAGGGACCAUGUCUUUCUCCCUCUCUCCCUCUAAUCUUCUCUCCCAGUUUACACCAUUUUAAGGGCUAGAACAAAAGUUCUUCUGUGCAACGAGAGCUUCGAUUUAGACCACACAAAAUUUUGUUUGGACCAAUUUGGAGGUUGGAAUUUUGGGAGUUUUUGCUAUUUUGAGGUAGGAUCUUAUUAAGUAAACUUGCUGAUACGGACUUAGUGUAGAUGUACCUUAAUCUAUGAUUUUGAAUAGUUAUGAAAAGUUGAAAACCUUGAUGGUAUUAACUCCUAGUUCAAGAAUGUGGAAUAUAAUGACUCGUAUGGGUUUAGUGAUUAAGGUGAUAGGCUAUGAGAGGCUAAAAGACCCCAAAAAAAACUGAAAGUGAUAGGCUUAUAGUAGACUGUAAAUAUCAUUUCUCCAAAAAUACAGUCUUUUUUUUCAAAUAUAACAUGUAAAAAAUAUCUUAAAGCAUAAUGGCCCUCUUUGUAAAGUUUUUCCUACUUAAAUUCCAUUACAUUUUAGUUAUUUAUAUCCAUCUUUUUCCCUCCUAGGGAGAACCUUGGAAGAAACAAUAGGGGAAAAAGUCGGAUCGCUAGUUUUUACCUUUCAGAUGUGUCCUGAUUCCUAUGUAUGUUCCAAUACAUUAAUCGCUAUAGUAAUAGUAAUACUUUUUCGUAACACUAAUUUAGAUUCAGCGAUAUUAUUCAAGAGCCAUAACACAACCACACGUAGAAUUAGAUAAUUAACUAAGCGAGGAGGUCUAUGUAUAUUAUCCAUGCAUAAAAAUUAAUGUGGUUUACAAUAUAGCACAAAAGUGCAAAACAACUAAAUAAUGUAGCGCUCAAGUGACUGCAUUUCCAUCAUUCACAAAUUUACCAUUUUUGAAAAUGAUAUAUCAAUAAUGUAGCGCUCAUGCCAUUGCGAUUUUGUGUCAUAAUAUAUCUAAAAUGUACUUCCUGGCAAUUAUUUACAUGAAAAAAUAUUGUAUAAUACUGGAGAGCAAAGGGGGAGAUGAAUAAUCCAGUGUCAGAUGCAGAAAAAUAUCCAAUUUCACUUGAUGCCUCACCAUGAAGGGUAUAUAAUAAAACCAUCAAAAAUUACCUCAAAUUUAAAAGCCAUAUUUCAGUCCAGACUCCACACUCAAUAAAUGUCAGUUCUUGACUAAUCACCUUCACACCUUCAUCUAUAGCAUCAAGAAAUGAGGAAUUACUGAUAGUAGAAAUACAAAAUCCCAAUAACUGUUCCGUAGGCAUUACCAAUAAAGUUUCAACCAUAAUGCAAGAGUUAAUACAAAAGAGUUCUUGUACAGUAUAUUAUUGGUGUUCUAAACGAGAUUAGAAAUAUCAUGCAAAUGUCACAUUUUCCAUGAUCAGGAAACUUAGGUAACGCAGCUCUCGAGUUCGAGGUACUUACACAUACAAAAACAAUGUUUUGUUUGCAUGCCACUGAAAAAAGAAUAAGGAUUUCAGUUCUCAUAGAUGGAAGAUAAUAAAACCAUACAAAAUUACCUCAAAUCCAGCUUUUGUACAGAUUUUAUAAAUGCCCAGUCUUCAUUUAUCAUACUCCACAUCUUCAAUAUAAGGUAUCAAGAGACAAUCACUGAUAGUAAAAAUCCAAGACUAAAGCGCACAUACUGACUGCCUCUUAUUGCUUCCACAUAAUGCAAUAUGCAACAUAGAAGGGUCCUCAUCCGGUAUAUUAUUUAUGUCCCUACUGAGACAUAAAUCCAAGCAAGAUUAGGAAUAUUAUGCCAUAACACAUUUUCUCUGAUCAGGCAAACUGGGAAGACAACUCUAAAGUCAAAAAAUUACGAGUAAAAAUGAUGUCCAUUUGAAGACCCCUGAGAUAAGAAUAAAAAAGCUAGAAUUCAUAAGUAGUCAUGUAAAAGAAUAUUUUCUAAUUUUUGGAGAAAAGAAUAUUAGGAUCAAAGAUCAACAUCAAUAGUAGCAUACCAACUUUCAAGGGCAAGUGGUAUCCAUUGGUUUCUGAGCCCUAAUGCCAGGGACUCAAUCCCCUCAGUUUCCAGCAUCCAAAAACAUCAAACACUAUAACAACACUUGAUGAGCUCUCACAUCUCAUAGCUAUCAUAAUUCCAUGUGGUUCAAGUCAUGGUUUAUCAUUAGAAGCCGCUCCCCUAAUUAAUAAGAAUAUGAACGCUUACAAUUAAAACCAAAAACAACCACUCCAUAGAAUGAGUUUUUCAUCAUCAGGCAUCAAAGCUAUUCCACAUGUGAAAAGUAAAAACAUUAUAGGAUAAUUGCAACAUGAAGCAAGGUACUUCAAAUAAAGAAUUCCGCCAAAGGAUAAAACAAUGUUGAAUUACGAGUUUUGAUCUGAUCACGUGGAGCUUUCUAUGCUGCAUUUCCAUUAAUAAAUGCACAAAAGAAAUCAUCAAAAUCCAGUGUACAGAUGAUAACACCAAUACUUGUAAUUUCUUCAGUUUAUUGUUGAAUGACAUACUAUUCUAAAACGAACUCUAAAUGAGAACAAGUAUAAUGGAAACCAGAAGUAGCCAUAUGGCACAGGUUGCAAAAUAAGCCACAUAACUGCAGGAUCUAAAUAGAACCACCAACGGUUAUCUCUAUUAUUCAGGUUAGUUUAAACAGUGGGUUGAAUUUGGCUUGGUCUAGAUAGGACUAGGAGGUCCAUUUGAAACAAAGUGACUAAUGAAAGCCCUCAGAUCUCAUUACUCUGAGACAAUAGUCAAUGGUUAGUUAGAAUAUAGGAUUCAUCAAAAGCCUUUGCACACCAUCAAACAAUGACGAAUUAAAAGGAUAAAUUGCACUGACACUCCCUGAGUUUGUGAAGGCAGAGGAUAUGGUCAUUUGUAAACGCUUGUGAUAAAUAGAAACCAUCAAACUGCUCAAUAGUCAAUACAAUAAGAUUUUCCAUCAUUGGGCAACCCAGGUACAAGAUCAUAAAAAUGAGAAAAAUUACACAGAGAGAGAAAAUAAAAAGAUAUCUAUAGUAGAAAUGGUUGAAACAAUGACAAAUGAAGGAAUAAAAUAAAAUAAGUAAAGAUGGGCAGUCACCAGAGCAUAGCUGAAAGAAAAGGCAAGUUGAUCUACAAGACAGGCAUAGCGCAAGAGAAUCUAGGGAUAAGGAGAUGCAAAGGACAUAAUUGCAUGGAUAGUGCUUUUUCAACAAUAUACUUAUGUUAAGUACUUUUUAGAUUCCUAUGUGCCUUAAUCUUUAUUAGGGUCCGUUUGAUUAGAAAGAGAAAGAUAAUGGAGAAAUGAUAGGAUCUGUUGAUUACAAAGAAAAACAAUAUGCGAAGUGAAAAUGUUAGAAAGUAACACAUUGACACACUUAAAAAAAAUCUCAACGUCACCACUAAGAUCAAAGUUACAAUGGGAGCAUGAAGAUCUUACAAAUUGUAAUUGGAUGUAAAUAACAGUAGAAGACUUGCAAUAUGGAUUAUGGGUAGUAGUGGAAUGCUAAAAUAACGAGACUAAGUUUCAUGGGAAAAUAAUAAGAUUUCCAUGUACAUUUCGUGGGAAACUAAAAUUAACUUUAUCAGUAAGUUUAAUUUCCACUAUUUUCAAGCACUUUUUUGCUAAGCAAACAAAACAAAAAAAAAACUUUCUUGCACUUUCCAUCGUUUUUUUGCAAAUCCAACGUAUCCACUGUGCCCUUUUUUAGGGGAUUAAAAAGAGGAGAUUGAAUUAGUUAUUUAUGAGACCUGUCUAUCCCACAUUUGGUUGCACGAUUUAACAAUGAAAUCGUGUAAUGAGAUAGAACAUUAUAUUCCAUGGAAGUGGAAUAAUUUCAUCCCGUAGGGAAGGUGGGAUAGAGUAGGAUAGGAUAAAAAUUAUAAACAAAAAUAUCAAGUGUACAAUAACACUCCAAUCCCAUCCCAUCUAAACAUAGGAUAUUUCUCUAUCCCCUUGUCUUGUCCGGCAAGCAAACAUAGCCUCAUUGAUAAUGAGGUCCAUAGUUGCCUUUGGUUCCAAUCACAAGAAUCAACAUACGUGCAAAAGUGGGAGAUAAUACUAUUUCUUCCAAACUCAUCGUAAGCGACAUUAUUGUGCAUAGGAUAUGAUCUUUAUGAUAUGUGCAAUGACUUGUUUGUUUUUUCAAUGCUACUCUUCUGGGACAUCUAAUUGUGUGUAAUUCUUUCUCAUUGGAACUAAUUUAAAGGAGCCGCAAACUAAUUGACUGACUUGGCCAUGAAUUAAAGAAUCUUCACCAAGGCAACUCAACAAGUAGCUUUUCUAACCUCAACCACUGAAGAAUCCCCUUCUAAAGAUGGUAGUGCGUGUGAAAUAACUGCAUGCAAAAAAUUGUUAGUUUGUAAUAGAUAAAAAAAGAAGUAUUUGCUUAAAAUGAAAUAAAAAUUAACUCGUAAAUUUUCACAUUGCCCAAGUAUCCUCAAAACAAUACCGACCAGCUAGCAUGAUUCAAAUCCUCUAAAAGAAACAUAAGCUCAUAGAUGCUGCUUUCAAAAGUUGGUUCCACAACAAAUUGCCUGGAGUUAUCAAGCUAAUAGGGUGAGGAGAAAAGAAGAUGCAGAUUAAAUUAGAACAUAGCAUGAACAAAAGACAAAAACAGACUGAAAGCUUAAUAAACUAGAAGGUUUGGAAAAGUAUACAUAAAGCAAAGCUCCAAAUUUGGAACCCAGCCCGUUGGCUAUCACUUUGUAAGUCUUACAAUACUAUAACCAAAAUAAAAGUUAGCUAUUAGCUCACACUUCGAAAGCCAUGUAUGCACAACCAAGCGAAGAACAAUCCAAUGGAGUUCGAUAUGUUCAAGGUUUCAGCCAACUAAACAAUAAAACCCACAUGCAAAUAUGCAAAAGCAUUCUUUGGAAGCCAUUACUGAUGUGUUUUUCUUCUAUAAUUCUCUAGAAUGAUUUUGCUUGCCAAAUAAAACAUGUCCAGACAAGAAAGCCAGAGCUUGGCUUUUUCACCAGCCAAACAAUAAAACCCACAGGCAAAUAUGCGAAGCAUUCUUCAGAAGCCAUUACUAAUGUAUUUUACUUCUAUAAUUCGAUGGAACACUUUUUUUGCCCAAUAAAACCUGUCCAGGUCAAUAAGAAAGCCAGAGCUUGGCUUCAAUACAAAGAAACCAACAUUUUGGUAAUGCUAAAAACCCACAUUUAAAUCUUUCUGCAUAUUAAUUUCACAGGAGGCUUGGCAACAGAUAAAACUGAAGGAACUAAUAGAGAGAUGAACUCGUGACGGGAAUGACCUCGACAAAAUAUUUGCAAAAUGAUAAGAGAAAAUUCUGAUUUCAUAGGCAUGGAAAUGAUGCUUUGGUGGGGAUUAGCAUGCAUGAAAAAAAAAUCUAAUUUCCAUUUCAUAUUUCUCUAGAAACAAGAAAUUGGAAUGAGAACACCUAGUCCGAGUUCAAAGAACAGAGAACAAAAGGGAAAAAAAUAGAACCUCUUUAUUGAGGGGGAUCGAGAUGGACUUAAAAGCAGACCAAUUCAGGGAAUUGCUUACAAGACCAGCUUCGAAAUUCAGAAUAUACCAAGAUCAUUCAGAGCUACCAUUUUUAAAAUAUAAAAAAAUAGGCAACUAGUUUAACACAGUAUUUUUCAUUUUUAGAAGGCAGCUAUAGCUACUGUAAAGUAAUCAAUAGGCAAUCACAAAAAAUUGUCAUGAGAAGCAAUUCAUAAUAUCUCUUGAACAAAUCAUCAAACGAGAUAAUGUAACCGAGAUAAUGUGUACCACAGACGGAUUAACUGCAACCAUGAAAUAUAAAGUGAUAACUGCAAAACACAUUACCUUAAUAAAACUUUUCAAAUCAAGCCCAAGGUCAAAAUUCAGAACAUAUUCUCAUUUUUCACAUUGGGUGUCCUGUUGCCACAUCCAAUGGACAGAUGCAAAUUAAUCAGAAUAGUUGUCUCUUCCAUUGGAGUCAAGACCCUCAGUCUGGCUACGCUCAAUCCUAUGAAAAAUUUGCCUCCCCUGGCGUUCUAACGCGUCUGUGAUCCAUACUUUACUGCUUCAAAAACUUGCCCAAUCAACCAAUUAGGUUGUCCCAGUUGGCAAGGCCCUAAUAACUCCAUAUGAAAAGUCAUGGAUUCGAGCCUCAAAGAGUGAACCAAUGGUUAAUUUUCCAUUCCUAAAAAGUAACCACGAUGUUUGUUUGCACGCCCCUGAAAAAACAAGUUUUUCAAAUCUCCAAUAGAUUCACCUAACAAUACCUAUAUCUCAUAGCUACAAUUAUGCAUGAAUAGUCAGGAAUAUCUUUCAAGACAACAUUUGAUAAACCCUCAGAUCGCAUAGCUAUCAUAAUUCAUAAUUUCAUUGUGAAGUAUAUGGUUUAUCAUUGAAAAGAAGAAGCAAGUUACUAUCACCGAACUGGGUGACCAAACCAAUCACAAAACAAACAAGACACAAGGAGUGGAUCCUUCAAUACAACCAACCCUUUUGUUUUGCCGAUGACCGAUUCAGUCAUCCAGUUUGGUGAUAAUAUCAUUGGCAAAGAAAUGACACGAUAAUGACAAUGAUGGGAAGGCUUCCAAUGAAAAUCAAAACAUCACUCCACAAUAAUGAGGCAUCCAUCAUUGGGCAUCAAAUCUUUUCAUUGAUUUAAAAGUAAAACUUCAGGAUAAUCACACAGCAUAAAGAAGCAAGUUUGAACCAAGAAUUCAGACAAAGGUGAAAAAACAAAAAUCACUUGUCAAAAGUCAGUUUGAAAAGUAUCAAAUGUAGCUUUUUAUGCGGGAUCUCCAUCAAUAACUACAAAAAAUAAGUUGAACAUACCUACUAUUUUAUCAGUUUAAAAUAGUCUCCACGUUAUUAGUUAGAUAGUAUGGGCAAUGAUCUUCAUUACAUCACAGCUCCACAAACGUAGCCCAAAGGAUUUUGAGUCGAGCAAAUGCCUCAAGUCGAAUUGCUUCACCACGCAUGAGAUCAUUUCUCAAUCAGACCAACCCAAACAAUCCAUAAUUUUCUAUUCUAAGAAACAAGAAGGUCUAGCAUCAAAACUUAUCAGUUUAUUAUCAAUUUAAACAAAGAUAAAAGUCGAGAGAAUGAAGAACUCGGUAAAAAACCUACGGAUGCCUAAGAGGGUACAAACAAGUAAAUCAUCAAUUAACAUUGUAACAAGACCAACAUGGAAUAAUUUAUCCAUGAAAGAUCAGCAUUUGUUGAGUAAGCAUAAAUAAAAGCAGUAUGGCAAACUGCAAAAAAUGAAAGCUGCUGAUACUUUUUAAAGGAUCAUCAACUUUCUAUGUUGCAUUUCCAUCAAUAGCUGUAAAAAAUAAAUUUAACAUAACUAUUCUAACACCAUAAAAUAACUCCAGAUGACAUGUUAAUACACACAUCUCCAAAGUAAAAAAGAAGAUAAGAAAACUACGGGUUUCUUCUCAUAACCAUAGGACCAGACUACAAGGCGCAAGCCUACUUAGCUCUCUCUUUUGGGAUCAAAACUUCAGAAUGCAUUUGAUUAGGUCUGGAUAGUAGUAGGUCACUGUUUACUACGGACUACAUCAGUAAACUGCUCAGAGCCCAGUGCAUAUAGCAUCAUUCACUAACAAACUAUUUUUGCAAUACUUAAGCUCAUGCACUUACAAUUUUAUGUAAGAACAUAUCUAAAAUGUAGUUCUAGCAAUUAUUUGCAUAAGAUAUUGUAUAAAACUGGAGAGCACAGGCGGUGAUGAAUAAUACAGUGUCAAAUGCAGAAAAAUAGUCAAUUUCACUUGAUGCCUCACCAUGAAGGCAGAUUAUAAAACCAUCAAAAAUUACCUCAAAUCUAAAAGCCAUCUUUUAGUCCAAACUUAAACAAAUUUUCGUUCUUGACAAAUCACCUUGCACAUCUUCAUAACAUCAAGAAAUGAAGAAUUAUUGAUAGUAGAAGUACUGUAAGGCCAUAAAGCUAGAGUCAGCACAAAAGGAUUCUCAUACAGUAUAUUAUUGUUUUAGUCACUGGGAUAAUCCCAAGCAAGGCUAGAAAUAUCAUGCAGAUGCCAUUUUCCCCAAUCAGGCAAAUUGGGUAACGCAGCUCAAAGAGUUUGAGAAACUUGCACAUACAAAAACACUUUUUGUUUGAAUGACCCUGAAAAAAGAAUAACAAUUUCAGGUCUCAUAGAUGGAAGAUAAUAAAAUCAUCCAAAAUUACCUCAAACCUCAAAUCCGGCUUUUGUACAGCCUUCGCAAAUUAGCAGUUGAUAAAAACAUCGAAUAUAUAGGCAUUUAGAUCUAGCAUCCAAGCCCAAAUAGUCCAAUGGUUAAUCAAGUGGUCCACAUUAUCCUAAUGAAACUAGUGAUUGCGAAAAAUGACUCUCAGUUACUAUUGGCUACAUUAGUUUAUUAUUCAAAAAUAAGUUUUCUAUAACACAUUAACAAAGUUAGAAGAAUUUAACUAAAAAGCACGGAUACGGACACGGACACAAUACGAUACGGACAUGCAAAUAGUUAUCUAAAAAUUACGAUACUGACACACAAACACCCAAGUCAAAUGAAUUGCAAAGUCCUUUUAUUAAUACUCUCAUGACUCCUUAAACUUCUCUCAUUGCUGUACUUUUUAUCUUAAAAGCACAUACGGACAUGGACAUAGCCACAGACACGCAUGUCCGGAGGAAUGACACGAAUAGCCUCAAUGUGUCCAUUGUCCUAUAAAACAAAAUACAAAAAAAAAUGGACAUGCUGACGUGUCCGACACAUGUCCAAGAGUGUCCGAGAAGUGUCGGUGUCAGAAAUGAUGACUAAUUUAAAGUGUCCACACUUCUUAGGAAUUCAGAAUAAAACUGAUCAUUACCAACUUGUAAAGCUAAGUAGCCAAACAAAUAAGAAGAAAAGAAAGAAAAAAAAUAAUUUUAGAAAAACUCCGAUGUCCAUUUUAUGUGCCUGCAAAAAGAGGAACCAAAGGGAAUCCAAAGAUCUAAAAACAUCUUACUUUCUCCAUGAGCAAGGACCGAAGAAAGAAAAUGUGCAAAUGCCUCACCAAAAUUUCCAUUGAAAACCAUAAAUUGUUAUGAAUCACAAAAUACCUCAAAGUAAGUAUGGAUAUUCCUAUACCAGUAAACAAACUAAAUUUAAUAAGAAAACACCCAAAAAUUAUAAGGGACGAAAUACACAUAUAGACUAAAAGAUCUAAAAGAUAAAUAGUAUAAAACAAUCUUAUAUUCCUGCCCCAUUUCUACAAAAUGAGACAUUCUGCUUGAAACAAAUGAAUUUCGUAAAUUGGGCACAGAUGAUAGGGGUGGAAGUAAAGUUUAGUAUAAGAUUCAUAAAACCUCUACCAAUAUAUUGGAAAUCACAUCAAUCAGGCAAUUAGAUGCAGUACACAGAAUACAAAUGUGAGUUAUUGAAUCUGUCUGGCACAUACACAAGUCAAAUGUAUAAUGUCCAGAUGCCAAUACAAAUACAGAAAAUACCCAAAUUACCAUAAAAUACAAAAACAAAAAACUUUUUACCUUGAAAAACAUAACCAAACAACAAACAUCAAUCCAUUAAAUCAACAUCCAGCGUCAACAAUCCUACAUCCAACAUAAAAUGUUAGUGAAAUUGUUGAAUCUAUCACAUAAAUUAAAUGCAUAAUGUUUAGAGGUCAUUGCAAAUAUCACCAUUCAUCAAAAAUUUCAAUUACCCAAAACAGAAGAAAAACAUACAACUUUUUAACAUAGAAAUACCUAACGAAACAACGAACACUAAUACCAUAAAUAGGCACCCAACGUCAAUAAUCUGAUCAAAGUUGUAGAUGUGAAGAUCCUAUAAUAGUUAACACUGGCCCUCAGAUCUCAUAGCUUUGAACAAAUCAUCGAUGGUUUAUGUCAUCAAAUGCCUUUACAACCACUAGAAGAGAGAGAGAGUGGUGGUGGGGUGGUGAACCGUUGGCAAAUACAUAUGAAUAAUGUGCAUAUUUGAAUUUAAAUAGACAAAUUUAAGAUGCAUAUAUGAUCGACAUUUUCAUGGCGGAGCCGCCAUGGGAGGAGUGAGUUAAUGAAGGUGUUAGGACAAGGGAUGGGAUUGUCCGGGAUACCCUUGGUUACGGUAUUAAAUACCUGGAGUACCCUUGAAGUAGACUUUUCUUGUGGUAUAUUUGGUAGAAGAGAAAAUAGGUGAGAAAAGGGAAAAGAAAGAUUGUUUGGUAACACAUUUUUUAUUUUGUGUUUAUUGUAUUCAUUGAAUUAUUUUUUUGAGAAACACUUAAAUAAACUAGUUUAGUGAACAUUUUUUGAAAAACUGUAGUCAAAAAAUUUAUUUCAAAAUAAAUUUAUUUUUAGAAAAAAUUAAAAAUAUGUUUUCAAUUUUUGAAAAGUGUUUGUGUUUCUGCACAAAAAGAAAAAAGAAAACUAUAUAAAAUCUUGGAAUGCUUUCGAGUAUUUCAUUGAUUUUGUUUCCAAGAAAACACAAAUAAAAACGGAAAACAAAAAACAAUUCUAAACAACACAUAUUUCAAAGGAUGAUAUUAACAUGGAUCUUUCUUAUUAUCUAGGUGGCCAUACUACUGAGAUUUCUCACUAUUUUUCUUUUUACACACCAAACUUAUUCAGCAAAUUGUUUGCCAGACUGUUUCGAAAAAAAUUCUAAUAACCCAAUUUUGACAUAACAUUAAAAGAUGGUUUUGGAAUUCCAAGGCUUGUACAAACAUUAAAGCUAUAUCCCAAGCAAAUGAAUUUCAAACUUUUGCAUAUCAAUAUCUCAACUAAAUCUAAACCGCAUUUCAGAAAAUGCUUAUAAAAGAAGUGAAUACAAACUUGUACCAUACAGCAGUGAUAAUAAUACAACCACAAUCGCCCAAGGGGCCAAAUCUUUACCACAAGAGGCCUGAAUAAAUCUAAACUCCAUACAUGUGCAUAUCUCACUCACUAUACCUUGUUUUUGUUUCUUGUGCUAGCAAUCACCAUGGGUUGAGUUUUAACACACGAGGCCUCACCCAUUUAUACAAAUCUUACCACAGGAGGCAACUGGUGUUAGAUUUAGGCUUAGAUGCUAGGUCUAAAUGGGUUUCUAGUUAGAAAUAAAGUGCUUGGCGAAAGCCUCUAAUAUCUCACAGCUUUCCACAAAUCAUCAAUAGUUUAGAACCUCUAGAUCGAAUGAUUUUUUUUUAAAGAGACUUUACAACACCAUAUAUUGGCAAUAAUAAUUAACUUGCCAAUGAGAAAAAGCUAAAUGAAAGCAGGUGGAAGGGAUAAUAAUAUAUUAUGCGUACCGAUUAUGCAGACCAAAAUAAAAUAUUUGCACAUCCUUUGUUUGGAAUCAUUAGUAAUGUCAUAAAGCAAAAAAUUUAAACGGUGCAAUAUGCUAAUAAAUUAAUCAUUAGCCAUGUUUAACUUGUUUUUCAUUAAUUUUCAUUAAUUUUAAUUGUUUAUGGAUAUAAUGCCCUUACAAGUAACAAAUAAAAAUAUAAAAAAAAAAUUGUUGCAUCCUUGCCACAUCCGUGUGCAUAUUUGUGCUUCUUUACUUAUAUUAGAGUCUAAAUAUCAUUUAUCCUAAAAAAAUAGUCUUUUUUUCAAAUAUAACAUGUAAAAACAUAUCUUAAAAGAAAAGUCCAAUAGAUUUCGUUAUUUAUAAAUUAUUUUCAUCUUUUUCCUCCAAGGGAGAACCCUGCAAGAAACAAUACGUGAAAAAAGGUAAGAUUGCUAAUUUUUACCAUUCAAAUGUGUCAUGAUUCCUGUGUGUUCUGAUAUAUUAAUCUCAACAGUAAUAGUAAUACUUUUUGGUAACACCAAUUUAGAUCCAGUGAUAUUAUUCAAGAGCUUUAAUACGCACCACACUUGACUUAGAUAAUUGACUAAGUGAUAAGGUAUACAAUGCUAAAGAUUAAUGUGGUUUAUGAUAUAGCGCAAAAGUAUAAAACAACUAAAUAACUUAGCAUUCGAGUAACUGCAUUUCCAUCAGUAACCUCCUCAGAGCCCCGUUCAUAUACCAUCAUUCACAAAUUUACCACUUUUGAAAACAGAAGUUCGUGCCAUUGCAAUUUUGUGUAAUAAUAUAUCAAAAAUGUAGUUCUUCCUACCAAAUCUUUACAUGCAAAACAAUGUAUUAAACUGGAGAGCUAAGGGGGGGAGAUGAAUAAUCCCAUGUCAAAUGCAGGAAAAAAUAUCCAAUUUCACUUGAUGCCUCCUCACCAUGAAGGGUAUAUAAUAAAACCAUCAAAAAUUACCUCAAAUCUAAAAGCCAUCUUUUAGUCCAGACUCAACAUAUGUCUUGACUAAUCACCCUGUGCACAUCUUCAUCUAUAGAAUCAACAAAUGAAGAAUUACGGAUAGUAGUAGAAGUACAAAAUUCCAAUAACUGCUCCUUACAAAUAAAGUUUCAUCCAUAAUGCAAGAAUCAGCACAAAAAAAGGUUGUGAUAUAGUAUAUUGUUGUUGUUCUCGAACAAUGCAAAUGUCACAUUUUCCCUGAUCAGGUAAACUAGGUAUCGUGCUCUAGAGUUAAAAGGAACUUACACAUACAAAAACAAUGUUUUGUUUGAAUGCCACUAAAUAAAGAACAACGAUUUCAGUUCUCAAAAGACGGAAGAUAAUAAAACCAUUCAAAAUUACUUCAAAUCCAGUUUUUAUACAGACUUUACAAAUACCCAGUCUUCAUUUAUAGCCCUCCGCAUCUUAACAUGAGACAUAAUUACUCAUACUAAAAAAACAAAACUUAAAUGCACAAACAACGCCCUCAUAUUGCCUCCGUAUAAUGUAAUAUGCAUUAUGCAACAUAGAAGAGUCCUCAUGCAGUAUGUUAUUUAUGUCGUUAAUGAAACAUAAUACCAGUGAGGCUAGGAAUAUUACGCCAUAUCACAUUUCAUUUGAUUAGGCAAACUUGGAAGACAGCUCCAAAGUCACAAAAAAAUUACAUGUAAAAACAAUGUUCUUUUGAAUAUAAGAAUAAAAAAGCAAGAAGAACGCACAAAUAGUAUCCAAAAAAACAAACACUAUAAAAGGAGGAGGAGGAGGAGGAGGCUUGCAAUUAAAAACAAAGCAACCACUCCAUAGAAUGAGUCAUCCAAUCUCGGGCAUCAAAGCUAUCCCACAUUUGAGAAGUAAAACCAUUAGGAUAAUUGCAACAUGAAGCAAGGAACUCCAAAUAAAGAAUCCGGAAAAGGAUAAAACAAUGUUGAAUUACGAUUUUUAGAUAACGUGCAGCUUUCUAUGCGCAUUUCCAUUUAAAUGCACAAAAGAAAUUAUCAAAACCCAGUGUACAGAUGAUACAUUAGUACGUUGUACUUUCCCUCAGUUAUGUUUGACUGACCAUAGCAUAACAACUAUUCUAAAUGAACUCUAACCGAGAACAAGUAUAACGGAAUCUGAGAAGCCAUGUGGCACUAGGCUGCAAAAUACGCCCUGCAGGAUCUAAUAGAACCACUCAAAGCUGAAUCUGCUAUUAUUCGUGCCAAUUUAACCUGUGGUUGAAUUUGUUUUGGUCUAGAUAGGACAGGAAGGUUCCAUUAGUAACAAGUGACUAAUGAAGCCCGCAGUCUCAUUACUCUGAGCCAUAGUCAACAGUUAGUUAGAAGAUAGGAUUCAUCAAGCUUUGCACACCAUCCAACAUAACAAAUUAAAAGGAUAAAUUACCCUGACACUCCCUGAAUUGAGAGAGGGAGGAGAUGGUCAUUUGUAAAGGCUAGGACAAUAGAAACCAUCAAACUGCUCAAUAUCAAUACAAUGAGACUUUCUAUCAUUGGGCAACCCGUGCACACAAGAUCAUAAAAAUAAGAGAAAUUACACAAAAAGAGAAAAUAAAAAGAUAUCCAUAGUAAAAAUGGUUGAAACAAUGACACGUGAAGGAAUAAAAUAAAAUAGGUAUAGAUGGACAGUUACCAUAGCAGAGCUGAAAGAAAAGGCAAGCAGAACUACAAGACAGGCAUAGCGUAAGGGAAUCAAGGGAUAAGGAAAUGCAUCAUGCAUGUUAACUUGUCCAACAAUUUGCUUAUGUUAAGUACUUUUUAAGAUCGUAGACAAAAGGAAUGUUUGUUACUAUUUUUUUUUGUUUUUUUGUUUUUAUUUUAUUUUUUUUAUAAUGAAACAAAACUUGUUUUGUGUUGCUAUUUAUAAUAAAAUAAGACAAAUUACUACCACUAUUUUUGAAAAUAUGAAAACAGGUUAGUGUUUUUUGUUUAAAAACUUUUUCAUUCACCACCACCACCACCGGCCGCCGCCACUUGUUUGUUAAAAUAGUUAAAAAAAAAGGUUAAUACAAAUUAGUUUUUAUUUUUAAAUAGUUUAAAAAAUAGGUGACACAACUAUUUUUAAUUUCUGUUUUAUCAAAAACAAACAAAACAAAAUAAACAAACACAAAAAAUAAAAAAAUAAAAACGUUACCAAAUAUACCCUAAGCUUUUUACUAUAUUCCAUGUCUCCACGAGUUCAAUAAAUGUCCUAAAAUGAUUUAAAUUAUAAAACAACAAAUCAGAUAACCCAUUAACACCCUUGUGUCCCAAAGUAUGAAUGAGUCGUCGACCCUAUAAUACACUAGAAUUCAUUACAAACCAGUCCUAAUCAUCAUCAUAAGUAACCACAAAGAAAAUUAAAAAUAGUAAUUAUGAUGGUGACGGUGAAGUUGCCACUUCUGGUAAAGCAGCGAUAAUGAUGGCCUAAGAUCAAGAUGAAAACCCAAUUUAACUUCUCCACGUAACAUAGUCAACCAUCCUUGUCAAAAUAUGAAUAUAUAUACAUAUAUCUGUAUAAUGUACUCUCCAUCAUCAUAGGACACAACCCCUGAAAGAACGAAAAAGCAGCUGAUAAAACAUUGAAUGUACAGGCAAUCUUUAAUAUACAAGUAAAUAACUGAAUUACUCAUAAGGUCUAAAUGCGUUAAAAUUUUAGAAAUGAAAUACUUAACCAAACCCCAUAAGAUCUGACAACUUUGAGCAAAACAUCAAGGUUAACAAAACUUGGAUACAAAGUAUUUUUAAAGAGCCGUGACAGCCACAGGCAAAUAUACCAAGCUUAUCGACAAUGUCUAUAUAAAUCACACAAGCAUGAAGCAAUACAUAUCGCAGGAGAACGACCAGUUAAUCGAGUGGUCUUAGGCGGUUGCACAAAGUCUAAUGACGAAGAAAAACCAAGAAACACCGAAAUAGCUUAAUAUAAUGGAAUGUCAAUACGUUUGAAAGGGUCAGAUACAGCUUUCUAGGCUGCAUUUCUAUCAGUAAUGCAGUAUAUAAACUGCUCAGAGCCCAGUGCAUAUAUCAUCAUUCACUAAUACACAAAUGUCCGCAGAACUCUAGCUUCUGCACUUUCAUUUUUAUAUAAAAACAUAUCCAUAUCGAGAAUAUUAUUUAUUACAUCCACCUUCAGAAUAUACAGUCCAACCUCAAACAAAAUUUAUAAUGACAAUCUUUACUUGAAAUCCACAAAAUGACAUUGCAAGCAUCCACGUACAGGACUCGGAACUCUUACACAAGCUGUCCUAUCCCCAAAUGUGCUAAUGACUUGUUGAACACACUAUUUUUGGGGCUUGCCCAAUGUGUUGUCUGCACUAUGCACGUGCAAUUUGUGUACUAGGACAAACUCAGAUAAAAUUGGCAGUCAAAGGCACUCAAAUCUCUUAGCUAUUAACAAAUGGCAGUCAUAUCAAGUAUUUACACAUUGUAAACCAGUGUGAUGUGUUCAUAUAUACAUACAUAUAUGUAUGUAAUGAAGAGCAAUAAGAGAAGGUGGUAUGGGCAGCAGUGGUCAAUAUAAAACCAAUUUAUGAGUAAGACCACGGAACCGCCUCAAUACAUUGAGAUUUUCAUCAUUGGGCAAUCUAGAACUCUAGAGGCUACACCAUAAUUUAUAGAGCUUACAAUAGAAGCUAGUCAAUCCAUGAGAACAAAAAACAAAUAUACACAUGUAUAAAUGUAUAUGCCCAUGUACAAGCAUAGACAGGAAAAGAACGGAAAGUAAAAA
rnacentral:lncRNA from 1 species